rnacentral:rRNA from 1 species
AUGAACGCUGGCGGCGUGCCUAAUACAUGCAAGUCGAGCGAACGGACGAGAAGCUUGCUUCUCUGAUGUUAGCGGCGGACGGGUGAGUAACACGUGGAUAACCUACCUAUAAGACUGGGAUAACUUCGGGAAACCGGAGCUAAUACCGGAUAAUAUUUUGAACCGCAUGGUUCAAAAGUGAAAGACGGUCUUGCUGUCACUUAUAGAUGGAUCCGCGCUGUAUUAGCUAGUUGGUAAGGUAACGGCUUACCAAGGCAACGAUGCAUAGCCGACCUGAGAGGGUGAUCGGCCACACUGGAACUGAGACACGGUCCAGACUCCUACGGGAGGCAGCAGUAGGGAAUCUUCCGCAAUGGGCGAAAGCCUGACGGAGCAACGCCGCGUGAGUGAUGAAUGUCUUCGGAUCGUAAAACUCUGUUAUUAGGGAAGAACAUAUGUGUAAGUAACUGUGCACAUCUUGACGGUACCUAAUCAGAAAGCCACGGCUAACUACGUG